rnacentral:rRNA from 1 species
CUACGGGAGGCUGCAGUGGGGAAUAUUGCGCAAUGGGCGAAAGCCUGACGCAGCAACGCCGCGUGAGUGAUGAAGGCCUUCGGGUCGUAAAGCUCUGUCGGGAGGGAAGAACACCUUCGGGUCUGACGGUACCUCCCGAGGAAGCACAGGCUAACUCCGUGCCAGCAGCCGCGGUAAUACGGAGUGUGCAAGCGUUGUUCGGAAUUACUGGGCGUAAAGCGCGCGUAGGCGGCUUGAUAAGUCAGAUGUGAAAUCCCUCGGCUUAACCGAGGAACUGCAUUUGAAACUGUCAGGCUUGAGUACGGGAGGGGGAAGCGGAAUUCCCAGUGUAGAGGUGAAAUUCGUAGAUAUUGGGAGGAACACCAGCGGCGAAGGCGGCUUCCUGGACCGAUACUGACGCUGAGGCGCGAAAGCGUGGGGAGCAAACAGGAUUAGAUACCCCUGUAGUC